AUACGUAGGGUGCAAGCGUUAAUCGGAAUUACUGGGCGUAAAGCGUGCGCAGGCGGUUUUGUAAGACAGAGGGGAAAUCCCCGGGCUCAACCUGGGAACUGCCUUUGUGACUGCAAGGCUAGAGGACGGCAGAGGGGGGUGGAAUUCCGCGUGGUGCAGUGAAAUGCGUAGAUAAGCGGAGGAACACCGAUGGCGAAGGCAAUCCCCUGGGCCUGUACUGACGCUCAUGCACGAAAGCGUGGGGAGCAAACAGGAUUAGAUACCCUGGUAGUCCACGCCCUAAACGAUGUCAACUGGUUGUUGGGUCUUCAUUGACUCAGUAACGAAGCUAACGCGUGAAGUUGACCGCCUGGGGAGUACGGCCGCAAGGUUGAAACUCAAAUGAAUUGACGGGG
rnacentral:rRNA from 1 species